UCGUAAAUUCAGUCAAGAAAACGUCAAAAAAUUCUAGUGUAGGGUCUUGUAAUUUUUGUGGAGGAUGGCGAGUCAUCAACCAUAAAUCUAAGCUUAUUUCUUAUCGCUACGAACCAGCGAAAGCAGUCGGAACUUUAUUCGUUGGAAUGUUAUUUUCGGAAAAUUGUACACGUUUUAGGGAUUAUCUUGAUUACAUUUAGAGUACACAUAAAAUUUAUUUAAAAAAAAUGGAUUUUGAAUGGGGGAUUUACUUUUUCGUUGCGUUAGGAGCUGCUCUAGCGUUUUGUACAUAUCGAUUUAUGACUGGAUAUAGGCAUAUAAUUUAAAUGUACUCAGUUUGUGAAAUAACGUUGUAAUAAAGAACAUUUACAUAA